GACGAACGCUGGCGGCGUGCUUAACACAUGCAAGUCGAACGGAAAGGCCCUGCUUUUGUGGGGUGCUCGAGUGGCGAACGGGUGAGUAACACGUGAGUAACCUGCCCUUGACUUUGGGAUAACUUCAGGAAACUGGGGCUAAUAUCGGAUAGGAGCUCCUGCUGCAUGGUGGGGGUUGGAAAGUUUCGGCGGUUGGGGAUGGACUCGCGGCUUAUCAGCUUGUUGGUGGGGUAGUGGCUUACCAAGGCUUUGACGGGUAGCCGGCCUGAGAGGGUGACCGGCCACAUUGGGACUGCGAUACGGACCAGACUCCUACGGGAGGCAGCAGUGGGGAAUAUUGCACAAUGGGCGGAAGCCUGAUGCAGCAACGCCGCGUGCGGGAUGACGGCCUUCGGGUUGUAAACCGCUUUCGCCUGUGACGAAGCGUGAGUGACGGUAAUGGGUAAAGAAGCACCGGCUAACUACGUG
rnacentral:rRNA from 1 species